CGAACGACGGCCCAGGUGUUGCCAUCUCCUUAUCUUCGAUCCAACCCAUCUUCCCCUCGUAUCCUGUACUCCCGCACCCCCUCAUUCUUCUCUCCCGUGGCAGGGACCGACGAGUUGCAACGGACGGGGGGCAGUCCGGCUGCUGGCGUAAAGGACGACGGGUGGUGGUAGGGCCGUGGGAAGAGCAGGUAGACGGAGAAGGUUGCCUAUGGAAAUCUGGCAAGUGGCAGCGGCAUACAGACCAAGCGGGAAAACACCAGAAAUAAAUUCAACUUGGGGAAGAGAAUCACGAGGAUGAACUCCUCGGCUGCUUCUAGCGUGUUUUGUGGUGGAGGAACAUAGAAAUCUCCGUUUCCUCAUUACUUUAUUCCGAUGGUUUAUUUGCCAUACGUUACAUUGGCGAGAGAUUGGCGAGAGGUGGGUUACCAGAAGGAGGCGACGUUAAAAUCAGUGCCAGUGACGACGAUGAUGGACACGAUGAGCUUGGUUGGCAGUGGCCGCCGCAACAGUGUUGUACUCGGAGCCCAUGCUAUCCGAGCUCGACAAUACGAACAGCUCAGUCCUUUUGCAGCCGUGUUCAUCGACAAGUUGUCCAUACAGUACCUUGGCAUCAACAACCACGGCCAUGAUAGCGGAGUUGUGCUGGCCGACAGCCCUGCUACCAUGCGCCGAGCAGUCUACUGAUUUCAGAAGACCGUGAGGACUGCUGGGCUCAAGGGGUUGAAUCGGGUUCACCACAUGUGGUGGCAACCUGGGUUGGCACUCAUCUUGGAGCACAAUUAAAUGGAAAUCAGUAGCAAAACCACAAUCUGCAUAGUGACUUCAAUGGAGGUGCACCGGAUGAACCGGAGGUGAUCAUUUUGGACUGCACGGAUUUGGACUAUGCACGGAUGUCCUAAUUCUGUUAGGUCCAAUGGGCCCUGCUUAAUACAUCAAACAACCACAUUUUUUCAUGCAUUAUGAUGACUGAUCCUUGUAAACUGCAUUACAUAUAAUAUUUAUAAAGCUCUCUUCUUGUAACCAUUGUAUAUGCAUAAUCGAAAACCAACCCUUAAUUAGUGGCACAAACACACUGACAUCCAAAGAAUGGAUUAAGUGCUAGGGAGAAGGGAGGGCGAAGAUGAAGGCUCUGCUAUGUAGGUGGCCUUGAUGUAACUAGAGCAUUCUUUGGUCAUGUUAGAGACUUAUUAGUGAUAGAGCAGUAAAUUAUUUUGUUAGGAUAA